rnacentral:rRNA from 1 species
AGUGAACGCUGGCGGUAGGCCUAACACAUGCAAGUCGAACGGCAGCACAGAGGAGCUUGCUCCUUGGGUGGCGAGUGGCGGACGGGUGAGGAAUGCAUCGGAAUCUACUCUGUCGUGGGGGAUAACGUAGGGAAACUUACGCUAAUACCGCAUACGACCUACGGGUGAAAGCAGGGGAUUUUCGGACCUUGCGCGAUUGAAUGAGCCGAUGUGGGAUUAGCUAGUUGGCGGGGUAAAGGCCCACCAAGGCGACGAUCCGUAGCUGGUCUGAGAGGAUGAUCAGCCAAACUGGAACUGAGACACGGUCCAGACUCCUCCGGGAGGCAGCAGUGGGGAAUAUUGGACAAUGGGCGGAAGCCUGAUCCAGCCAUACCGCGUGGGUGAAGAAGGCCUUCGGGUUGUAAAGCCCUUUUGUUGGGAAAGAAAUCCAUCUGGUUAAUACCCGGGUGGGAUGACGGUACCCAAAGAAUAAGCACCGGCUAACUUCGUGCCAGCCGCCGCAGUAA